GGCUGGGAUGGGUAUGCUGAGGAGGACUCUCCACUUUGAAGAGAUUAGCUGCUGCACGCCACACCUAUGAUGCAAAAGAGGCACAAGGUCCUGGAGGCCACACGGAGCAGAUCACAGGGCGCCACUCUGACCAGUCUGCAGUUUCCUACCUGACUGCCAGUCAUCUUGACUUUGGGGAUGAUCCGGAAGUGAGACGGUGCCAGAUCCAGUGAAGAAGGUGGCCGAGGACGCA
rnacentral:lncRNA from 1 species